CCGUCCGCCACGUGGGACGCCGUGUCCGCCCCGGGGGAGGGGCGGUUACGCUGACGACGUGCGCCUCCCCGACGGGGGCGCAAAGCCGACAGCCGUCGCACUCCAGGGAGCACCUCCAUG
rnacentral:sRNA from 1 species